GAUGAACGCUGGCAGCGUGCCUAAUACAUGCAAGUCGAGCGAACAGACGAGGAGCUUGCUCCUCUGACGUUAGCGGCGGACGGGUGAGUAACACGUGGAUAACCUACCUAUAAGACUGGGAUAACUUCGGGAAACCGGAGCUAAUACCGGAUAAUAUAUUGAACCGCAUGGUUCAAUAGUGAAAGACGGUUUUGCUGUCACUUAUAGAUGGAUCCGCGCCGCAUUAGCUAGUUGGUAAGGUAACGGCUUACCAAGGCGACGAUGCGUAGCCGACCUGAGAGGGUGAUCGGCCACACUGGAACUGAGACACGGUCCAGACUCCUACGGGAGGCAGCAGUAGGGAAUCUUCCGCAAUGGGUGAAAGCCUGACGGAGCAACGCCGCGUGAGUGAUGAAGGUCUUCGGAUCGUAAAACUCUGUUAUUAGGGAAGAACAAAUGUGUAAGUAACUAUGCACGUCUUGACGGUACCUAAUCAGAAAGCCACGGCUAACUACGUG
rnacentral:rRNA from 1 species